GGCAAGUUCCAUUUAUCUUUUUGAAAUGAAGUUUUCCCAUCACUUCUUUUGAAUCGCUUAUUUUGGCCCUGCUGGGGAUUGACAACUGACAGAAACCACAGGGACCGAGCCGACUUUUGACCUGACUUGAUACAGACAGAAAUGCUGCCUAUGCUCGGAGAUUUCCGCUGAGGCGUCGGCAUUUUUCGUGGACUUCGCUUUAUUCUCCCUUUGCUGCUUCUGCUAGGCUGCUCUGCCAGCCAACGUCCCGCCAACGACAUCGGGUCGGCGAGGCCCUCCACGCUUCCUACCCCGCUCGCUAGCCGGUGCGUUGCGGGCUUCGUUUUUUUUCCCCGCAUGGGGAUCACCCGCAUGGGGAUCACCCUCCUCAGAAACUGCGGUGUUUCUGUUGAGGGACCUGGCGAGGAAAGAAAUGCCCUCGGCUUGGUUGAAUUCUGAAGGACUCUUCUGAAAUUGUUCUAGCUUCGAGAUCACUUCCUUGAUCUCUGAGGUGCCAGAGAUCGUCCAUCGGAAGCUUGUUGUUGCGGCCCACCUCUUCCACUGCAGCCUCCCCCGCCUCUGCAAGUUCAAGGAAUCUCAGAACUGACUGAGCGCGACCUACUUCGAGGCCUCCCUGGCCGCGGCCGUAGGCUGGGCACCUGGAGCUUGUGCCUUAUUCCAGGGGGAAGGCGAGGGAGCGGCUGCGGCGUCCUCCGUCCUCCCUUCGCUCAGAUUCUGGACAAAGCAGUUCCCGCCUACUCCUCCGCUGUGGCCCCGGGCCCUGGCCCUGGCCUCAGCCACCUUGGCUUCAGCGCCCGUCGUGGAGCUUUUUCCGCAGGUGGAGAAAUUGAGGCAAAAAGAAGUUAAAUUGUUUGCCACAGGUCACACAGCUUGGGAGAGUCUGAGGCUCUUCCUGACUCUAGACCCAGCACUCCAUGUACCAUGUCACUUAACUACCUCUGUUUGGGAGAAGACAUCCUGGGAAGUUUCAUAAUGUGAAAAAGAAAAAACCAUGAACUCACAAGUGAAAAGAGAUUGAACUCGGUCUCAGCAUCCAGGAUAAAGAAAGGACUUUCUAAUAUCAUUUCUCCUUGUUAUUACAAGUUUUCAUUAGAGAGAUCCUGGGGUCAGGGAUUGGAGCUGACCAGGAGUGGAAGUUCUUAGGAGACCUAGAAGAAUAGAUUCAUAGAAUUACAGAGUUGGAAAGAACUUUUAGGAUGAUCUAAUCCAAUCCACUAUUUUGUUUUGUUUUAGUUUUGUUUUUAAAAUAAUAGCUUUUUAUUUUUCAGAAUUCAUUAUUUUCAAAACUCAUUAAACAUUUACCCUUGCAAAA
rnacentral:lncRNA from 1 species